rnacentral:rRNA from 1 species
CAAGCGGUGGAGCAUGUGGUUUAAUUCGAUGCAACGCGAAGAACCUUACCUACUCUUGACAUCCAGCGAACUUAGCAGAGAUGCUUUGGUGCCUUCGGGAACGCUGAGACAGGUGCUGCAUGGCUGUCGUCAGCUCGUGUUGUGAAAUGUUGGGUUAAGUCCCGCAACGAGCGCAACCCUUAUCCUUUGUUGCCAGCGAUACGGUCGGGGACUCAAAGGAGACUGCCGGUGAUAAACCGGAGGAAGGUGGGGAUGACGUCAAGUCAUCAUGGCCCUUACGAGUAGGGCUACACACGUGCUACAAUGGCGCAUACAAAGAGAAGCGACCUCGCGAGAGCAAGCGGACCUCAGGAAGUGCGUCGUAGUCCGGAUCGGAGUCUGCAACUCGACUCCGUGAAGUCGGAAUCGCUAGUAAUCGUGGAUCAGAAUGCCACGGUGAAUACGUUCCCGGGCCUUGUACACACC